rnacentral:misc_RNA from 1 species
AACGCAUAUUGCGCCCCUUGGUAUUCCGAGGGGCAUGCCUGUUCGAGCGUCAUUAUGACCACUCAAGCCUGGCUUGGUAUUGGGGUUCGCGGUCCCGCGGCUCCUAAAAUCAGUGGCGGCGCCAUCUGGCUCUAAGCGUAGUAAUCUUUCUCGCUACAGAGUCCCGGUGGAUGCUUGCCAGCAACCCCUUAUUUUCUUAGGUUGACCUCGGAUCAGGUAGGGAUACCCGCUGAACUUAA